rfam:Ixodes scapularis strain Wikel colony gcontig_1108378928014, whole genome shotgun sequence.
GCCGGGAUGGUCAAUUGGUUAAGGCGUCGCCCCGGACAGGCUAAGGUUGCGGGUUCAAUUUCCACUCCAGGCA